AUGCUCUUGCAACCACUCCAGGCACGACUGGCACCCUUCUGCAGAAGUUAAGAAAUCUCCAAAACAGUUGGCUGCUUACAUAAAUAGAACAGUUGGACAAACUGUGAAAAGCCCAGAUAAACUUCGUAAAGUGAUCUAUCGCAGAAAGAAAGUUCAUCAUCCCUUUCCAAAUCCUUGUUACAGAAAAAAACAGUCCCCUGGAAGUGGGGGCUGUGACAUGGCAAAUAAAGAAAAUGAACUGGCUUGUGCAGGCCACCUGCCUGAAAAAUUACACCAUGAUAGUCGAACAUAUUUGGUUAACUCCAGUGAUUCUGGUUCUUCACAGACAGAAAGCCCAUCAUCAAAAUAUAGUGGGUUUUUUUCCGAGGUUUCUCAGGACCAUGAAACAAUGGCCCAAAUUUUGUUCAGCAGGAAUAUGAGAUUGAAUGUAGCUUUAACUUUCUGGAGAAAGAGAAGUAUAAGUGAACUUGUAGCUUAUUUGUUGAGGUAAGUGUGACCUUUUAUCCUCUUUGUUCAAUCACUUUUUUUCUGAGACAAGGUCUUGCUUUGUCAUCCAGGUUGGAGUACAGUGGCGC
rnacentral:sRNA from 1 species